ACGAACGCUGGCGGCGUGCUUAACACAUGCAAGUCGAACGGAAAGGCCCUGCUUUUGUGGGGUGCUCGAGUGGCGAACGGGUGAGUAACACGUGAGUAACCUGCCCUUGACUUUGGGAUAACUUCAGGAAACUGGGGCUAAUACCGGAUAGGAGCUCCUGCUGCAUGGUGGGGGUUGGAAAGUUUCGGCGGUUGGGGAUGGACUCGCGGCUUAUCAGCUUGUUGGUGGGGUAGUGGCUUACCAAGGCUUUGACGGGUAGCCGGCCUGAGAGGGUGACCGGCCACAUUGGGACUGAGAUACGGCCCAGACUCCUACGGGAGGCAGCAGUGGGGAAUAUUGCACAAUGGGCGGAAGCCUGAUGCAGCAACGCCGCGUGCGGGAUGACGGCCUUCGGGUCGUAAACCGCUUUCGCCUGUGACGAAGCGUGAGUGACGGUAAUGGGUAAAGAAGCACCGGCUAACUACGUG
rnacentral:rRNA from 1 species